CCUCUUCCGGCCCCACCCUCCCUCUUCCAGUCCUCGCCUCCUGCCUCUCCGGCACCGCCUGCUGCUCCAGUUUCCGGGGGAUGCUGGGCGGCUUGGAUGGGCCAAACAUGGGUCCUCACCUUCCUGGAGGCCAGAGGCUGAGAUGGAGCCGCUGGCUGGUAGUCCCUUCAAGGCCCCUCUCCUGGGGCUGCAGACGGCCAUUUUCUCCGGAGUCCUUACAUGGCUGUUCCUGUUUGUCCAGGUCCUGACCUCCUCUUCCUGUGUCCUGGCCCUUGUUUCGUCUCUUCGAGGACUUCAGAGAAAAUCACUUCGUGCAGUCUUGAGCCUCCUCGAGCCUCACCUGCUGUUUGCUGACGACGCCCCUGCCUGGCAGCAGCCGCGCUGCUUUUGUUUAAUUCUCCUUUUUUGGUCUAUAGUCUAUUUUCUCCUCACAUCCCAGAAUCCCCGUUUCCUCUCCUUUUAUGGCCCCAGCCACACCACAAGGAAGUAGUGGGAGACAGUGAAAAGCACGUGAUGCUUGCGUCGGAGAGACCAGGUGCAGAACCCCGCUCCCCUGCGAAGGCGAGAUGCUCCUCACCUUCCAGAGGCUCUGGCGCAAGAACAGGAAUCCUCCUUGCAGAAUGUGACCGCUUCUCCCCCAUUCCUCUCCCCUCCCCCCAGUAUUCUUCAUCCUGUCCACCUCCUUCCGCACGCCCAGAAAACCGGCUCAUGAGCCCCACCCUUCCCUGGCCAUCCUGUCUUCACGCCCGUCUUCCUGUGGCCAGUUGCUGUUCCUGCCGACACCAGCUCGCUUCACCCCUGCGAUCUGCAGGACGCAUCUCAGGCCGCGGGCUGCCCCCCACUGCUGGGCAGGUUCCACAUGCACUUUCUCCAUGUGCUGCUGGUGGGAAGUUUGCAGCUCAGCCUCUGACACAGGAACAGCAUGUGGCCAUUGCCUCCUGGGGAGGGGGUGCUGAGAGCCAGCGUUUCCUCUUUUAACAGGAAGGACUGACUCGGUGGAGAGACUGACUCAGUCCAUCUGGUGGAUUCAUCCAAGGCGGUACUGUGAAAUUCUCCCACUUUCUUUCCUCAUCUGGGCUCUCAGAAGAAGAUUUGGUACUUUUCUGGCUCGUUCAUGAAUGGCUUUCAGCCCUUCCAUCUGACGCCCGCUUCCUGGACGUCCUUGCUGAGCCCCAGGGAGAGAGACGGUCCCUCCAAUGUGCUGUUAAGCUCCUCGGCUGACCCGGGCUCUUGAGGAGAGACGGGGCCUCGCGGAGGCAGUGGCUUAUCCUGUUGGAGGUGACGCAUCUGGAGCCGCACAUUUCAGAACAUCUGGAGAGCGGAGGCAGAAAAAACCCAGAAGCAAGGCAUUGGCACAAAUCAAGGAAAAACGUCCGCUCACGCCUUAUAGACUGCGUGCUCCCGUUGACACGAAGUGAUUUCUGCAGAAAACAAGGUUUUUUGCCCUCACUGUACCUAGGAGCUCAAGGCCAGCCCCAUGAACCAGAUCACAGAGUCAUUUUCACAAUGCUCGCCUCAUCUCCGUCCAAAUCCCCUCUGGCUUGAAUGACAGCUUGGCAGAUGCCCACAUUAGAUCAAUCAGUUUCAAUAGAUGUUCAUGAGGGCCCCGGGCGGCUGUGUGGCCCAGGGUUUCUUUGACUCCCUCCCCUGGAGAUGAGGCUGUGAGACGCGUCUCCAAAAUAGGGAGGGACUAGGGUGGUUGGUGGGCCCACUGGAUGGGACUUGCAAGCCAGGGAGGACUGAGACCCCUCCAAGGACAGCAGGUUGCUGGGCGGAGGCUCAGCACAGCCGAGGGAAAGAGUGCUCGCCGGGGCUGGGACAUAGGGGGAGCGAGUGUUGGGGGGAAGGAUGCUGGAAGCUGAUGAUUGGGAGCUGAGGUCCCAGAGCCAAUAAGGAGAUGCCCCACAAGGCUUGAAGGCCGUAGCCUCAUCCCUGGGUCCACGCUCAGAGGCAGGGGCCGAAUGCCCAGCGAUGUAAUGUGACAAGCACACAGGAUUCAGGGGUGACUUCACCAGGGAGUCUGCCAGAUGGCAACUCUGAUAUCCACUUUUCUCUUUUGAAAACUCAGCCUUUGAAUACCACGUUACAGAUAACACACGCUGUGGUUGCUUUUUCUGAAGAAAAAAAUUUUUUUUUUUACCCAUUGCCAGCACAAACAAAAAAUAUUUGCCUUUGUGAUGUCCCAUGACCCUGUAAGAAGAUAGAAUUGUUUAAAGGCUUUUGUACUGUCCACAUUCUGAGCAAGGACUGGAGAAGCUUAUAAAUCCUCCCGCGUGACAUCACUGCUGUUUUAUAUCUAUAUACUCCAUAUUUAUUGUGCCUGCUUUUUUUUUUUUUGGCAUCUGUGACAUAGCUGACAGAAGUGGAUUUGCAUGGGGACUUAUGUUACCAUUUGCAAAGACGCCCCAUAGAGAUGCUUCCUGUGCUUGCUGUAGUUUUGAUUUUUUUAACUGCUUGUCGGCAAUGCAUUUAUUUAUUUAUUUAUUUCAGACAAAGGUGUUAGCUCGAACUGACGGAAGAUUUAUUUUUGGAACGUUAUUAACAGCUUAAAAAUUUGGAGAUGUUGUGCAAAAGGGUAAAACUAUACGAAGAAUUCUUCAUAAUACAUUUUUAUUGACUGUUCUUCACAAAGACCCAGAAGAGUGGUCAGUCCUACUGGCCUCGAUUUAACAGAUGCAAUUGUUAAUGUGUAUUUAGAUAAAAAAAAACUAGUUACAGUCUUUGACUAUGAAAAGGCUACCUUUCCCCCCAAUAUUCAUUUAUUUUGAGGAAAUUUCAGCUCUGAUUUCAUUCUUAAUUUAGUGUAUAUUCUAAACUGGAUCAAAAUUGCCAAUGAAUUGCAUCUUCAAAGAAAUUGCGUUUACUGUCUAAUUACACAGUCCACCUAAAUGGGUUAAAACAAAUAGAAUCUAGGAAGUGGAAAGACAGUUAUUGUUCGGUGCUCCUAAGAUGAGCUAUAAUUCAGUCUACAAUCAUGUUGUCAAGAGUUUUUAACUCUCAAUUGUCUCAAAGAUGAUUAGAGAAAUGCUGUAAUAAAACAUGGAUAAUACUUUGGCCACCUGAUGCGAAGAACUGACUCAU